UAUGAUUGUGUGUGUGUGUGUGUGUGUGUGUGUGUGUGUACAGACACACACACACACACACUAAUGCAAUUAUA